AUCGGAGAGUUUGAUCCUGGCUCAGGACGAACGCUGGCGGCGUGCCUAAUACAUGCAAGUCGAGCGGACAGAUGGGAGCUUGCUCCCUGAUGUUAGCGGCGGACGGGUGAGUAACACGUGGGUAACCUGCCUGUAAGACUGGGAUAACUCCGGGAAACCGGGGCUAAUACCGGAUGGUUGUUUGAACCGCAUGGUUCAAACAUAAAAGGUGGCUUCGGCUACCACUUACAGAUGGACCCGCGGCGCAUUAGCUAGUUGGUGAGGUAACGGCUCACCAAGGCGACGAUGCGUAGCCGACCUGAGAGGGUGAUCGGCCACACUGGGACUGAGACACGGCCCAGACUCCUACGGGAGGCAGCAGUAGGGAAUCUUCCGCAAUGGACGAAAGUCUGACGGAGCAACGCCGCGUGAGUGAUGAAGGUUUUCGGAUCGUAAAGCUCUGUUGUUAGGGAAGAACAAGUACCGUUCGAAUAGGGCGGUACCUUGACGGUACCUAACCAGAAAGCCACGGCUAACUACGUGCCAGCAGCCGCGGUAAUACGUAGGUGGCAAGCGUUGUCCGGAAUUAUUGGGCGUAAAGGGCUCGCAGGCGGUUUCUUAAGUCUGAUGUGAAAGCCCCCGGCUCAACCGGGGAGGGUCAUUGGAAACUGGGGAACUUGAGUGCAGAAGAGGAGAGUGGAAUUCCACGUGUAGCGGUGAAAUGCGUAGAGAUGUGGAGGAACACCAGUGGCGAAGGCGACUCUCUGGUCUGUAACUGACGCUGAGGAGCGAAAGCGUGGGGAGCGAACAGGAUUAGAUACCC
rnacentral:rRNA from 1 species